GACGAACGCUGGCGGCGUGCCUAAUACAUGCAAGUCGAACGCAGUGGGGACGGGUGAGUAACACGUGGGUAACCUCCCAUCAGAGGGGAUAACCCUUGGAAACAGGUGCUAAACCGCUACUGAUGGAUGGACCCGCGGUGCAUGAGCUAGUUGGUGAGGUAACGGCUCACCAAGGCUAUGAUGCAUAGCCGGCCUGAGAGGGUGAACGGCCACACUGGGACUGAGACACGGCCCAGACUCCUACGGGAGGCAGCAGUAGGGAAUCUUCGGCAAUGGACGAAAGUCUGACCGAGCAAUGCCGCGUGAGUGAAGAAGGUUUUCGGAUCGUAAAGCUCUGUUGUUAGAGAAGCGGUAUCUGACGAGAAAGCCACGGCUAACUACGUGCCAGCAGCCGCGGUAAUUC
rnacentral:rRNA from 1 species